UUGACAAAAGAAAACGCGGAUUUGAUCCAACGCCAUUCAUUGUCCGAACGCAGUAUUCCAAAACCGACCCGUGAGCCACUUUUUAAACACUAGGAGGACAUCUGCAUUAUAUGGAUAGAGGACUACUUGGGCAGGAGGCUUCAUUGGAGGCAGCACGGGAAUUGCUAAUUGCCAUCUCCAACUCUCAACCAGAAAAAGUUGAAUCAGAUCAGGUCGAAAGUUCAAACAGUUGGGAAUCUCGUACAGUGAUUAAUGGGGACAGAACUGAGAUCUUCAGGUCUCGACUGAUUUCAAUUUCGUAUCCCCAGCCUCCAAAUGAUAGGCGUCUGUGCAACGGCCAUGCAUGAUUGAUAUGGUGGGAGCUAUAAUGUUUGCUAUGGAUGACUGUUCCAUUUCCGUUUCUGUUUUAGAACUUGAACUUUCUUAAAGUUGCUGAGGUGUUGUUCUCAUGCUCUAGUUAUGCUGACCAGAAAGUCGAAAACCAAACUGUAGUAUCGAACUUUGAAUGUGGAUGGAUGCUUGUAACUUUGUCCAUUGUCUCGUCUGUUGGAAUAUAUGAAUCACAUAGUUCUGUUGA